UACGUAGGGGGCAAGCGUUAUCCGGAUUUACUGGGUGUAAAGGGAGCGUAGACGGCAUGGCAAGCCAGAUGUGAAAGCCCGGGGCUCAACCCCGGGACUGCAUUUGGAACUGUCAGGCUAGAGUGUUGGAGAGGAAAGCGGAAUUCCUAGUGUAGCGGUGAAAUGCGUAGAUAUUAGGAGGAACACCAGUGGCGAAGGCGGCUUUCUGGACGAUGACUGACGUUGAGGCUCGAAAGCGUGGGGAGCAAACAGG
rnacentral:rRNA from 1 species